rnacentral:lncRNA from 1 species
UUUCUUUUUCUUUUUCUUUUUCUUUUUCUUUUUCUUUUUCUUUUUCUUUUUCUUUUCCUUUUUCCAUCAUCAUUUUUUCAUCAUUUUUUUUGAAUCUGAACUCAUAGGAUUAGGCAAGUCCUUGUUCUCCCUUUUGAUCAGAAUCAAUACUUUUCUAGGUAAAAUCUUCCACCUUCAUCUUGUAUGCGUAAGAUCUUCUUUGUGAUAAAAUUUCUUUCAUAGAGCCUUUUAGGGCGAAAUUUAACUAUGACGGAAAAACUUUGGAUCUUCCUCUUCAAUUAGGAUGAAAUCCAACAACAGAUAAAUGGC